GGCCAUUUAGUACUAGCCCUUCAUUUUAUCCAUGACAGACUGUCAAGUGUCUUGCUUAUGACCAUACUGACAAAGGCUGGAAUUAAACAUACACUUUUGUUGAUAACUUAUUUAAAGAAUCCCUGGGAAAUGAAGAGAGGUUCAUCAAUUAAUCAAAUGUUUGUUGAGCUUGUACUUGGUGAGAAAGACUGACUAGUGUGAAGGGACAUGAAGAAAACAGUCUCUGACUUUAGGAACAAACAGUACUACUGAUUUGAGGAAAUAAGAGGUGACCUGCCAACUUGAGUUAUGGUAUAAGAUGUAGCCCUUAAUAACGAGUGUAACACUGAUGUGGCAUGUGUUACAAGUAGAAAUAUGUUCAUUUUACAGAAGUAGGAGUAGAAGCUCUGAGAACGGUGGACUCUGCAGAAAAGAGAGGUGUAGAUGUGUUUCUGGAACAGCCCACAGCUCAAGAAUUGGAGCGCUCCCAGGGACAUCUGGGCACUCACCCUCCUCAGUACGGGAGAGGGGACACAGUCAUUCUGCGUCAACACCCUGUCUGACGAACGAGGGAUUUAAUCCACUCAACGGGAAAAUCACUUACCCCUGUAGCCAUCUAAUUAGUGACAGACACCCAGCUAGGGGCCCUGUUUCUUGGCCCCGUGAAAGGGAGCUUGUGAUCUCACCCCCCUUUUUCUCCCAGAAACUUCAGAACAGCUCUGAGCCUAGAACGUGACUUUCUCGAAGACCUGAUGGCGGAGACGUGGGCGGGGGCCUCCCGGAAGGAGAGAGGAAGUCAAGUCACCGGUAUUUGAAGCUUACCUGCCCCCCCCCCCCCCCCCACCGGAGAGGGGAACCCAGCACCUCGGGCGUGAAGCCAGCUCUGCAGACCUGGGCCUCAUCGCUGGCAGGGUCUGGGGCCCUUUUGGUAACUCCAGGAAUAGCUGCAGCCUAAUAAAAGACAAAAGUGUGUGUGUGUGUGUGUGUGUGUGUGUGUGUGUGUGUGUGUGUGUGUGUGUUGGUUGUGUCUGGUGGUGGUGGGGGUGAAGGGGUGGGGAAGGGUUCCAGCUGUGGAAUGCCCAAGUAAAUGUCAAGUAAGACGGCAUAUGCUUUAGUAUUCUCUCCUGGGUGGGACAGAGUCCUUCCAUGGGAGAUCAUUUCAGGGUCAGCAUGUAAUUUUGAGGGGACUAUCUUGAAAUAUGAAACAGGCUAAUGGAAGUUUUCCAACAUCGUAACAUCUAGUUUGGGUUUUAAAAUCACUACUCACUGAGGCAGCUGUUUUUCACCUUCCAAGACUCCAUUUUGUGAAAUGAGGCUAAAGUAUCUCCACAGCCCUUUCCCUUGGAUCACCCUGAAAUGUUGGGAAUAUGAAUGGCCUCUUACCGUGUUCCCCCCGAAAAUAAGACCUACACCAAAAAUAAGCCCCAGUUAAGAUCAUCAGCCAGACAGACGCAUUUAGUACGUUAUGAAGAUGUUUCAGAAGAAGAUGACGUGACUGUAUUUGAAUAAGUGUAGAUUGUUGUACAUGAAAAAAUAAGACAUCCUCUGAAAAUACGCCCUAAUGUGUCUUUUGGAGGAAAAAUUAAUAUAAGACCCGGUCUUAUUUUGGGGAAAUAUAGUAUAAGACCCGGUCUUAUUUUCGGGAAAACACAGUAGUAGAGUUGUAGCUCCAAAGAGAAUUUAGGACCAUGAAAGGGCAGGACUCUCUCCUUUAAAAACAAAAACUUUUUAUAAAUCACAAAAAUAAUUAGUAUCUAUUGUGGAAAAGUUGUAUUUUUUUCAGAAUCAGAAAAAAGAAAAACAAUUGAAAUCCCACACCCAGAAAAUCAUUGUUAACUAUUUGAUGUUUAGCAUUAUAUGUAAUCAGGCUGAACACACUGCCUUUCUCCUUGAACAACCUUUUUUUCUUGAAUAAAAUGACAUGUCACUAAAUAUUUUCCAUGCAUGUUUUUAAAUCGCUAUUUGGUAUUCUGUUGUGCAUUUAUUUAGCCAAAGCCCAAUUGUAGGUCUUAACAGGAUUCAACAGGAUUUUGCUGUUGAAUCAGCAAGGAACAGGAUUUUGCUGUUGCAUCAGCAAAAUUCAUCAAGAUUUUGCUGUUGAAUCAGCAAGGAAGUGUGAGUCUUGUAGUUAAAUCUUUGAGCACAUUUUUCAAUUACUUACGUAGGUAAAUUUCCUAGAAGUGCUAUCCCUGGGUUCAGGGAUAAAGAUUGCCCCACAGUGACUUUUUUUUUUUAAAUUGGGGAAUAUUGGGGAACAGUGUGUUUCUCCAGCGCCCAUCAGCUCCAAGUUGUCUUCAG
ensembl:lncRNA